rnacentral:rRNA from 1 species
UACGGGGGUGCGAGCGUUGUCCGGAAUCACUGGGCGUAAAGGGCGCGUAGGUGGUCUGAUAAGGGUGUGGUGAAAGCCCGGGGCUCAACCCCGGGUCGGCCGUGCCGACUGUUAGACUAGAGUGCUGUAGGGGCAGGCGGAAUUCCGGGUGUAGCGGUGGAAUGCGUAGAGAUCCGGAGGAAGACCGGUGGCGAAGGCGGCCUGCUGGGCAGUUACUGACACUGAGGCGCGACAGCGUGGGGAGCAACAGGG